rnacentral:rRNA from 1 species
UACAAAGGGGGCUAGCGUUGUUCGGAAUUACUGGGCGUAAAGCGCACGUAGGCGGAUAUUUAAGUCAGGGGUGAAAUCCCAGAGCUCAACUCUGGAACUGCCUUUGAUACUGGGUAUCUUGAGUAUGGAAGAGGUAAGUGGAAUUGCGAGUGUAGAGGUGAAAUUCGUAGAUAUUCGCAGGAACACCAGUGGCGAAGGCGGCU